GUGUCAGCCGCCGCGGUAAUACGGAGGGUGCAAGCGUUAUCCGGAUUCACUGGGUUUAAAGGGUGUGUAGGCGGGUUUGUAAGUCAGUGGUGAAAUCCCGGAGCUUAACUUCGGAACUGCCAUUGAUACUAUAAGUCUUGAGUACUGUGGAGGUAGGCGGAAUACGUCAUGUAGCGGUGAAAUGCAUAGAUAUGACGUGGAACACCGAUUGCGAAGGCAGCUUACUACACGGUCACUGACGCUGAGGCACGAAAGCGUGGGUAGCGAACAGGAUUAGAAACCCGCGUAGUCC
rnacentral:rRNA from 1 species